rnacentral:ncRNA from 1 species
CUUAUCAAGAGUGGUGGAGGAACAGGUCCUUUGAAGCCCGGCAACCUAACGUAUUUCUACAGUUAAGGUGCUAAUUCCUGCGGUAUUUUCCGAGAGAUGAGG